UGGGGAAUAUUGCGCAAUGGGGGGAACCCUGACGCAGCCAUGCCGCGUGAAUGAAGAAGGCCUUCGGGUUGUAAAGUUCUUUCGGUAUUGAGGAAGGUUGAUGUGUUAAUAGUACAUCAAAUUGACGUUAAAUACAGAAGAAGCACCGGCUAACUCCGUGCCAGCAGCCGCGGUAAUACGGAGGGUGCGAGCGUUAAUCGGAAUAACUGGGCGUAAAGGGCACGCAGGCGGUUAUUUAAGUGAGGUGUGAAAGCCCCGGGCUUAACCUGGGAAUUGCAUUUCAGACUGGGUAACUAGAGUACUUUAGGGAGGGGUAGAAUUCCACGUGUAGCGGUGAAAUGCGUAGAGAUGUGGAGGAAUACCGAAGGCGAAGGCAGCCCCUUGGGAAUGUACUGACGCUCAUGUGCGAAAGCGUGGGGAGCAAACAGGAUUAGAUACCCCGGUAGUCCACGCUGUAAACGCUGUCGAUUUGGGGAUUGGGCCUUGAGCUUGGUGCCCGAAGCUAACGUGAUAAAUCGACCGCCUGGGGAGUACGGCCGCAAGGUUA
rnacentral:rRNA from 1 species